ACGGGUGAGUAAUGUCUGGGGAUCUGCCCGGCAGAGGGGGAUAACUACUGGAAACGGUAGCUAAUACCGCAUAACCUCGCAAGAGCAAAGAGGGGGACCUUCGGGCCUCUCGCUGUCGGAUGAACCCAGAUGGGAUUAGCUAGUAGGUGAGGUAACGGCUC
rnacentral:rRNA from 1 species